GGAAGCGCAACAGGGCAGCUGCACAGGAGCCACUACCAUUAUCACGGACGCUGAGUAAAGACCGCGGGUUCUGACGCGAACAAGGGGAUUUGGCCAGGUGUGCUCGGGUUGGGCACAAUAUUUGAUGGCGAGCUAGGAGCCCUACCAAGAACUGGAACAUCACAUUCAACUCUACAGCCUUUGCGGUCUGGUAGGAGGCUGUUGCAGCCUGUCCCUCCCAUAGACUCAAACAUUCGCAUUCACAACCUUAACAUAUGGACAAAAGGGGAAAUUUUAUGGACAAUUAAGCCCAU